GCAUUCGUGGUGUAACAGUAGCACACUCGGCUCGUAAUCGAAAGGCCUAGAUUCGAGUUCUGGGGAGGGCA
rnacentral:tRNA from 1 species